CUUGAUUUUCCAUAAUUCGAUGGGGAUAACCCUCAAUUCUGGAAAACUAAGUGCGAGAAGUAUUUUGAUGUCUAUGGAGUCAGUAGAGAUGUGUGGGUGCGGGUAGCGACUUUGCACUUUACGGGUAACGCUGCCCGAUGGCUGCAAUUGUACGAGUCGGGGAUGAAAACUAUAGAGUGGGAAGAGUUGUGUGCUGCACUCUGUAGUAAAUUCGGACGCGACCAAUAUCAGGCGCAACUCCGUCAAUUUGCUCAGUUAGUGCAGACGAGUUCGGUGUCGGAUUAUAUGACACAGUUCGAGGAGUUAAUGCAUAAUCUGUUAGCUCACAAUCCCGGGUUUGAUCCACUCUAUUUCACCACCAAAUUCAUAGAUGGGUUGCGUUCAGAUAUUCGAUCUGGUGUGGUUUUGCACCGUCCAAAGGACCUCGAUGCUGCCUAUUCCUUGUCUCUGUUACAGGAGGAGCUGUUGGAAGGAUAG
rnacentral:rRNA from 1 species